rnacentral:rRNA from 1 species
GACGAACGCUGGCGGCGUGCUUAACACAUGCAAGUCGAACGGUGAAGCUCCAGCUUGCUGGAGUGGAUCAGUGGCGAACGGGUGAGUAACACGUGAGCAACCUGCCCCUGACUCUGGAAUAAGCGCUGGAAACGGCGUCUAAUACUGGAUACGAGAAGGGUCCGCAUGGGCACUUUCUGGAAAGUUUUUCGGUUGGGGAUGGGCUCGCGGCCUAUCAGCUUGUUGGUGAGGUAAUGGCUCACCAAGGCGACGACGGGUAGCCGGCCUGAGAGGGCGACCGGCCACAGGGGGAGUGAGACGCGGCCCAGCCUCCGAGGGGGGGCGGAGGGGGGAAAUAUGGCACAAGGGGCGAAAGCCGGAUGCAGGGACGCCGGGGGGGGGAGGACGGCUUUGGGGUUGAAAACCUCUUGCAGAAGGGAAGAAGAGAAGGGGAGGUACCCGGAAAAAGAGCCCCGGGCAAACAAGGGG